CAUGUCAACGGCCGGGAGACGUCAUCAUCCUUUCCCUCCUCCCUCAGCGCUCGCGGGCGACGCAGACGCGGCGUCGCGGGGAGGGGAGGUGAUAGGGCCCAGUCCUUAUGGGAACAGGAGGGGUGGAGCCUAGUUACCAUAGCAGCUAGUGGAGGGUUCUUGCUGUGCGAUGUUCAGUAGAGAAAUCCCUUUUAUGUGACACACACAAAGCAGGGAGAUUUCCCAGUCUGAUAAAGCUGGGGAGACCCACCUACAGGUAAUGAAUGUGUGCCAGAAAGCAUCCAGCAACUACCUGUAUACUUGAGGGAUAGUAACAUGUGAGAAGGUGUAAAGUCAGAGAGGAAGAUGCUGAGAGGAGGCUAUAUUCCCUGAAGCAGGAAUCACACUCUGACACUGACCAGCUGAAAUACAGAGAUGUUUGAAGUCCUCUUUCAGAAGUGUGAUGAAGGCAAAGAUAGUUUCCUCUUCACCCCCCAGUGUCCUC